rnacentral:rRNA from 1 species
UACGUAGGGUGCGAGCGUUGUCCGGAAUUACUGGGCGUAAAGAGCUUGUAGGUGGUUUGUCGCGUUGUUCGUGAAAUCUCACGGCUUAACUGUGAGCGUGCGGGCGAUACGGGCAGACUAGAGUACUGCAGGGGAGACUGGAAUUCCUGGUGUAGCGGUGGAAUGCGCAGAUAUCAGGAGGAACAUCCGUGGCGAAGGCGGCUCUCUGGGACGGUACUGACGCUGAGACGCGAAAGCGUGGGGAGCGAACAGG